rnacentral:rRNA from 1 species
AUUGAACGCUCGCGGCAGGCCUAACACAUGCAAGUCGAGCGAGCGGCGGACGGGUGAGUAAUGUCUGGUAAACUGCCUGAGGGAGGGGGAUAACUACUGGAAACGGUAGCUAAUACAGCAUACCAUCAAAUAUGCCAAGCUGGGAUUAGCUCGUAGGUGGGGUAACGGCUCACCUAGGCGACGAUCCCUAGCUGGUCUGAGAGGAUGACCAGUCACACUGGAACUGAGAAACGGUCCAGACUCCUCCGGGAGGACGCAGUGGGGCAUAUUGCACAAUGGGAGUAAGCCUGAUGGAGCCAUGCCGGGUGUAUGACGAAGGCAGUGGGGUUGUAAAGUAAUUUCAGCGGGGAGGCGUUACCCGCAGAAGAAGGACCGGCUAACUCCGUGCCAGCAGCCGCGGUAAUAC